GUAGGGACCAAGCGUUAUCCGGAAUUAUUGGGCGUAAAGGGUGCGUAGGCGGCCAUAUAAGUCUAAGUUAAAAGCCCACAGCUUAACUGUGGAAGGUGCUUAGAAACUGUAUGGCUUGAAUUCAGAAGAGGCAAGUGGAAUUCUAUGUGGAGCGGUGGAAUGCGUAGAUAUAUGGAGGAACACCAGUGGCGAAGGCGGCUUGCUGGGCUGAUAUUGACGCUGAUGCACGAAAGCGUGGGGGGGAGCAAACAGGAUUAGAUACCCUGGUAGUCCACGCCGUAAACCGAUGAGUACUAAGUGUUGGAGAAAUUCAGUGCUGAACUUAACAGAUUAAGUACUCCGCCUGGGGAUUACGACCGCAAGGUUG
rnacentral:rRNA from 1 species